rnacentral:lncRNA from 1 species
UGCCCCUUUGUAAAUAGUGGUUGGGUUCAGAUUGGUCGGUGUGGUCGUGAUAAUUUUUUAGUGUGGGCGUUUGGUUGUUUAGAGUCUGUUUGUUACACUUGGGUUAGGUAUUAGGUUGAAUUACUGGUUCGAAUGAUUGGGUGGUUGAGUUGAGGUAUGUGCAACCUUGUUGCAUCAAUCAUAUUCUUAUUCUUAUUAUUAUUAUUUUAACUCUUUCUUUUAUUUUCUUUUUUAAAAUUUUAAAAUUCUGUGUUUUGAUAUAUUUGAUGAAUUUGCAAUGAUUAAUUGAUUAUUCUCUUAUUUUGGACAUUUAAAAAAUUAUAUUUUAUAUUUGUAAUUUUUUUAUAAUAUUAUUUAUUAAAGUUUAGCUUUAUAAUAUAACAUUUGAAUAAGUGCAAUCAUAAACUAAAUUAAGUACCAAAAUAUUAGAUGCAUGUAGAAUAAAUAUUUUACAUAAAAAUUUAAUAAAAAUAGACAUUAAUAAAGCCAAAUAGAAAAAAAAAAAAAAAUCAAUGAAAUAUAUUUUAUAUAAUUUAUAAUUCAAUUAGAAUAUAAAUACUCAAUAUUUUUUUUAAUUGAAAAAACUAAGUGGAAAAUAAAAAAACACAAAGAUAAUAAACAAAAAUCCUAAUUGGUCUUUUAUAAAUAUUUUUUCAUGGAUUCACUUAUAAAUUGAUUUAUUAGAAAGUACUAAUAUAAGUGCAUUAUGAUGAAAAAUGAUAUUUAUGUCAAUAUGAUGAAUUAUUUGCUAAAAAAGACUAUAAAACAUUUAUUGCAUAUAGAAUAAUACAAUAUAUAUUGAAGGAUCAUAGAAGAAUAUAAAACAGGCCAAAUAUGCUCUUGAAUUCACUUUAAUAUUAUUAAUAAUAUAAUAAAAAGAAAAUCUUUCAACACUAUAAAAUUCUUAUUUAUCUACUUUUUUGCCUAUGUGUGUAAUGUUAGAAGUGAAUAAAUGUUAAUUAAACAUAGUUUGGUACAAUUGGUUGUUGAUACAAAUGCUUUAACAAUGACACCAACUACAUCUAUCCUAUAUCAAUGUUGUAGAAAAACUAUAAAAAAAAUAUAAGUAUACAACAUAUUUUAGAAUGGCUAAAUUUGUAGUAAAUCUAAGUUCAAACAUUUGUUGGUAGAAAGUACAAUAAAUUUGUAGCAUUAUUUAGCAAACUUCACUAUCAUUUAAUUACAAAAUAAUUCUUAUUAGAAACAAUGCGUACUAUCUAAUUCUUGUAUGAAGUCCUUCUAAUGCUCAUUUACAGUCUUAAUAUUUUCUGUAAUAUAGAAAGCAAUGGAAAGUUAAAUAAUUUUUUAUAAAAUCCUUCAUUAAGUAUCUAUUAUAUAAAACACAUUAUGGAGGGAUAUAAAUCAACAAGAUAAAUCAUGGAGACAAAUUAGCCUUUUAAUUGGCUAUCCUAAUAAGCAUAUCUUGAAUAAGCCUUAUAUACAAUGCAUUAGAAUAGUUCUUGCUUGAAGGGGGUUGUUUAGUAGAGUAUGCAAUGAUUAGGCUUUAGUCUACUAUCUCUUUUGGUAAUUACAUUAUUUAUGAUAUAUUUACUUUUUAUGGUAUCUCUCUUAUUGCAACUCUAGUCUUACUUCCACUUGCAAUUUGAGCUCUCCAUAGCUUCUUGACUUACACUUUGUUGAUUUUGAGGCUAGCAUUGAUUUCCAGCUAACAACCAUCUCUAUGUGAAUCUCUAUAUAAAAUACAUGAUUGGAUAACUUAGCACAAUUUUUGCUUUCUCAUAAUUAAACUUUAGAAGUAGUUCAUUGUACAAAAUUAAUUAAUUUUUUUGUAUAUUUUAUAUGAGAACAAUAGGAAUUCAAUUACUUAAAUUUAACUUAGAUUUUGUUAAAUGAAUACAAAAAAACAACAUAAUACUAAAAAAUAUUAUUUUACAUAAUCUAUUGAUUAAACCUAUCAUUAGAAGAAGUAUGAACUACUUACAAUAUGUUAUCUAUGCAAUUAUUUUAUUGAAAUGAUUACAAAGAAUAAAACAGCUAUAUACAAAUUUCUUUGUAAUUAUUUGAAACACAUUCAAGAAUUUAAGAUUAAUAUUAAUUACUUCUUAAACUUUAUAUUAUCUUAAAUAAUUCAAUAAUAUAAAAAUAAUCACAAAAUGGAACAAAUAUACCAAUACUCAAGCUUAAUAAAAGUUACAAUUUUAAAGUAUAUACUCUUCAUUCUUCAUUUCAAUAUAGAUUGAUAUGUAAUUUCAAUAUAUAAUUAUGAAAUAUAAAAUUAUAUAGUUUUUUAAAAAAUAAAAUAAAGCUAAAAAAUAUUUCUUUAAGAUAUAUUAUUAUCAAAGAAUUUUUGAGCUAAUUUUAAAAUAAAAUAUCUUAUCAAAACACAAUACAAUAAGUGAUAAAAGUAUAUAUAUAUAUAUAUAUAUAUAUAUAUAUGACAUUAUAAACUAUUGAAGAUUGACAAUAAAACAAACUCAAGUGAGUGAAUGUCUUAUAUACUUACUUAUAAGAAGAGCUAUCUAUAAAAAACACCCUAUAUGUAAAACAAGAGCUCCACAAGUCUUAUUCAACUGCCAUCCCAUUUCUAUGGUGAAUCUUAAUUCUCACAAGAAAAACCAAACUCAUACAAUAGAAACGGUUGUCAUACAAUUGCAACCCAAAUUGUAAGUGAUGAACAAUAAGAAGGUUAAAACAAAAAAAAAAAACCUCUCAUUUGCUUCAAUUUAACACAACCAGAUUAUGGUGAUGAAGCAAGUUGGUAAAGCAUGAAUUUCGACAAACCGUCAUGCAUUUCAAGUGGAACACAACUUGUGCACCUCUCCGCAAACAGAGAGGGACACAAGCCACUUGGAUUCCAAAUUAUUAAACUGUGUUUAGUUGCUUGUGUCAUGAGUGACAAACAAAUCGAGGACAUUAACACUUUGCCAUAUUCAAAUACACAUACUCUAAAUACAACCCAAUGGAAAUAUAUAGCACUACAAUAACAAUAUGAAAAGCAGUCUGUACAAGGAAGGUGAUAAUAUCAUAGGCGAAUCAAUGCACAAUAUUUAAGGUCAACCGACCAUAAAAGUAUAUGCAAAGACCCUGCACAGUGAGAAUGGAAUAGGGCACCCAAAAGGAAGAAAUCAUACGAGAAGGAUGUCGUCAUGGGGCCAACAAGGGCAAGGCAGCUAUCCCUGGCCAUCGACGGCAAACCCUCAAGCGGGCCCGCCAUAAGCCAAGUACGAACGCCAAGAUUCCUCAUCACACGAAAUGCGACGGGAUCUUCCCAACCGAGAAGUCGUCACCCCUUCCGGAUUCCUGGAACCUGCCGCAGUGCCCGACAAUGAAUGAAUGACUUAAAACGGAGAUAUUACGUCGUAGGAUAGGGCAAUGAUCUUCAUCCACAAAACAAAGAGCCCUACACUCCCAAUUUAAACAUUGCUAACAGGUGACGAGGUCGAGCGGUCGCAAGCAGUUGCAACUCCAUCACCCCACAGCUACUCGAGUGUGGAAGCCCCCGGCAGCAUUCACUCUCCAAUCUUCAGAGUUGAUUGCCCCCAUCAAAAAUCAACGAAAAACAUUGAAAAGACCAUUUCGUAAGUCAAGCGAGGCUUUAUUUGUUGGUGAACGUAGCAACGACUUUGGCCAAUGAGAGGAAGGCUUCUUUUAUCUCUUUGUGGGAUAGCGAGGCUUCGUUCUUCUCACUGUUGUGUAGAUAGGGCCUCCCUGAAUUGUUCUAGGCUAAGUAGCAGUGGAGCGUAUUCUAAAACUCAGUAACAAUGAAUUCUGAAAAAAGGAACAUUGUAGUUGUAAGGGCGCACCAGAGCGCAUGGAAUGGUUGUGCGAGGAGGGGAAGGGUUUUUCAAAUGUGUUCCGUAGUUGAUAAUGUUGUGGCAUGGAAGAGGUCCACUCUCCAGUGUUGCUGUUGCUGUUGCUGUUGUAUGUAUGUUCCCAGCGGAGGAAGAAUGAGCUAAAACAGGAGGCGGUGAUGGUGAGGAGGAUCUAAUGCCAGGGGACGUGGACCAAAUCAUACCCGGCCAGCGCAAUACAAUACAAUACAGAUAGAUAGAUAGAUAGAGAAAAUAAAUAGGGCACGUGUACUCCUCAGGGUAUUCGCAGUGUGGCAUCCAUAGAAAUCAAAACAAGCAUGUGAAGCACGUCCUAAGAAACAAUAGGGAGUGCAAGCAACACCACUGAACAGAAGAAGCAGCAGCAGCAACAUCAACGGCACGCGGGGGGGGGGGGGGAUUGAAUUCCCGCUCCCUGCAAGUCCACAUCGCCAGGCACGCAGCCACGCUGUCCAGGAAAGGACAGGACAGAUCAGAUCAUCCGUCCAUCCAUCCACCCAUCCGUCCGGGGGACGAAUAGACGAAUGGGCGGGGGACGGGCUCAGCCGGGAUGCUCGUGAUGCCCCCCACAGAGGGCCUGCGGAAGUCCGGGUAGCUGUCCGGACUCCAAUCCAUUGGGAGAGAAAUGCACAAGGGAAAAAUUGGUUCUCGCUGCUGCUGGCUAUGGCGAUGGCGCUGCUGGGCAUCAUCCCGAACCUUCUCUGCCUUUGCUGCUAGCACCCUUCCUCCCUCUGCUGUCCCCCUUUUCCCUCCCCAUCCCUCCGUCGUCUGCCUGCUCCGCUCCGCCCCCCUCCUCUCUCUCCCCCUCCCUCCUCUUCUCCGCCUCUCUGAAUAAUGCGCCUCUCUUCUCCGAUGCUUUUGGUGGAGAUGGUGGAGAUGGUGGAGAUUGCGAAAUAUUCUCCAUGUUCCCUCGAUCGACCUUGGCUAGGGUUUUCUCCGUAGGCGCGCUGGGUUGAAUUUGCGGUGGAUUUCUGCGGAGUGCACAGUCCGGCGGAGAUCCCUUUUUGAGCCUUCCUCAGUUCUGUGGCUGGAUCGGUGUUGGCGUUCCUUUUUAUUCGUCGGCAAUCUUCUGCGUUGUGGGGACUUGGCCGAUGGUUGUGCAGUCGACCGAACUUCUUCUACUUCAGUUUAGUUUAUUUUAUUUUUUUGACACAGUGCUGUCCGUCUUAAAUCUGAGAUGCAGGGGCGGUCUAUUUUCUGGCUCUGGGUUUUGACAGCCUUGGUGAUUUGAGCAGCGGAAUAUCUGAGCUGCUUUCUAUGGCGCAAGGGCUCUUGUUAUGUCGUUUGAUGUACCGUCGAUUUAUGAAGGCCCAGGUGUCUAGGAAAUGAGGUGCUAGGGCGUUGUUGAAUUGGACGCGAAGGUGUUUCUCUGCGUUUAGGGCACCUUUUAUGUAGCUUCCUGCAUCGAAAGGUGGAGGAGGAUUUCUUCCAGCUGCGGUCUUUUCAGUGAUUUUUUCGGCGUUGAGAAGCUGGAUGCGUGGAGUUGUUCUUGGCGUGAACGCAGGGAAUUCUGUGCUGGACAUAACCGGCAGUGCUUGCUGCCCGUGCAUUUGAUGGAGAACCGCAUGCGAGGAGGAUCGUGAUGGAUGGGUUAAGACUUGCAUGACGUCCUUAUGUUGAUAGACGUAUCUAUGUGGGUUCCGAGACAUGGGGCAUUUGGAUGAUUCAGUGGCAGGUUGGGAAUGGGACAGUGUGCUCCUUCUGGCCAACCCGUCCUUAGACACUAGUCCUUUGCAGAGCUCGCUCCAGGCGCACUCUUCUCUUGAUUACAUCACAGAUUUUGCUGUGGGGCAGUCCUGGGCUGGGUUGGGAAGUCUUCAGACGAGCUCGCCGAAGCCCCCGGAUGGAAAAGUAGCGGCUGGACCUCAAUCGAGCUCUUCGGCUGAGAAAACGACGACCUCAGAUUACGAAUUGUUUCGAGACCCGCGCCUUGAUUGCCCCAAUUUUCUGGCUGGGAGGGUUCCUUGUGCCUGUACUGAUGAGGACGACGACGAGGGAGGGAGCCGAAGCAAGAGGGCCAAGGUGUCUGCUCGUUGCCAGGUCCCCGCUUGCGGAGCUGAUUUGGCUGGUCUCAAGGGUUACCAUCAGCGGCACCGGGUGUGUCUCCAGUGUGCAAAUUCGACCACAGUGAUUUUGCGUGACAUCCCCCACCGAUAUUGUCAGCAGUGCGGCAAGUAAGUACUAUUUUCAGUUGGACCGAAGUUGUGUCGACCAAUUUGCUGUAUACCCUAUCGGCUCCCAUCGAAGCGCUCACUUAGUUCGUUUGGGUUGAGUACAUGUGAUGAACAACAUUUAAAUGUUUGGGUACCUUCAAACUUCUCUAGGAAUGGGAGUUUGGGGCUUAACAUUCAGCCAAGGGCCACAAUCUUCGAAGUAAGUGCAAAUGCUCUAGAGCUGAGCUUGUUAGCAGUUACUUCCAAUGUGGGAUGCAAAACAUGAUGUAACUAGUCAAAGUGAUUUUCCAGGGGGUGUUUGAGUGUUGUGUUACUGGGAACACGGUAGCACGUGAAAGCGUUCUCGGUGAUUCACAAAGCCGUUUUUUGGGGGCGUCAGGGUAAAACCUCGCUAGUUACCCAGGAGAGUGUAGUUUCCACAUGUGAUUCCUUCACUAUUCGAAUUUGCUGAGGUGGGAGGAGUUGGUUGCGUGUACGAAAGGCACAUAGUUGUAUUGUUUUUUGAUGGCUCAAAGGCGUGGGCUAAUGCCUGAUGCACGCUUGUUAAAUGCCUCUUUCUACCAGUUGGAGCUGCAGUAAGUGAUCCGUAUUUGUCGAUGCUGCAUGGUCUGUUUUGUGCUGGGACAUAACACUCUGUAAAGCACGGGUUCCAUUUGUUGGGUGUGCAAUCACCUCUUGUGACGACAUGCUAUACGUCUCUCAAGCAGCGAUUUCUGAAACAGGUUUCAUGUGUUGAGCGACUUCGACGAGGGCAAACGGAGCUGUCGAUUUAAACUAGAACGCCACAACAAUAGGCGGCGGAGGAAGGUACAAGAAUCUGGAGAAGACGGUGCAACUCCAGGCGGUGGAAGCGAUAAAGCCAGCCUCAAUAGUGGUUCGUGUUACAGCUUAGUGUGCCUCUUAAUAUCUUGCGCUAUCGUUGUAGUUUUGGUUGCAUGUGAUGAAUUUUGGCUUUCCACCCGUGCACAUAGCGGCCAGUUGGGUCCGCAUAGCUGAGCCUGACCACUCAGACUUCCCGGUGUGUUAGAAUGUUGAGGAAACUGGGUGCGUAAUUUUCGUCAGCUUUAUUUGGAAGAAAUGUUGAGGGGCUGUUUGUGUCAUCAGAUUUUGUUGCAAUGUAGUAUGGAUGUGAAGUUUAUUUUGGGUUUUAUUUUUGAGGUUGUAUUUUGGAUAAAAGCACUAGUCACCUGAAAAUAUGUCUAGGCUGAACCUGGGAGCUUGAACGUUCCUGUGCUACAGGAGAAGUUUUUGGGUGCUUAUCCUGGGAGUGCAUGCGCUUUAUAAUGCAUGGGUAUGGCAUUGAUGGUUUGGGUGUUGUAUCGUUUCCUCGAAGGUGGAGGAAGGGUGAACGGAGACGAAAAUUCUGCAGUUGAAAGCAAAGCCCACGCAGAAGUAGAGCAAAGCGUAGUGGUGCAGGUUUCUAAAGAGGCUUCCUCUCCUGUUGAGCAAUCUGAUACAACCGACACCACACAGAUCCUUUCUGCUGGGAUAGUCGAUGGUUCUGGAUCAAGAACUGAUGGUGAGGGCACUGAUUUCGCUGAUUUUUAUUAAGACCUGAGACUGAAAUCAACAUUACAACAUUAUUUUAGCACAUGUGUUCUGCACUGCACAUGAGCGGUAUGUCACAUAGGUGUCCUUCAUGCUAAUGUUGUCACGAUUUUGUACUCAGGCUUGCUCACUUACGUGUCUGGUUUCUUUUGUCUUCUAGUUGCCAUGCUUCCGGUCUAAUCCAUGUGCGAUCUUUGCGGGUUUUUACGCAUCCUAAGAUGGCUGUAUGGGAAUUCUGAAAAUAAUGCCCCCCCCGCCCUAUUGAUCGAGUGUCGGUGAUGAUUAGGGUAGUGUUGAUGAUCUAUCAAGAUUGUGGAUUUUUGGAGAAAGGUUUGUUACCUGAGUUGGUUAUCAAUGCCUGGUUACAACUUUUCCAAACGCGCGUUCUUAUCUACUGUAUUGAGAACAGCUUUGAUUUAUCGCGUAAUUACUGCAAUUACUGCAGGUGCACAAGAGGCUCUUUCUGCCCCAAGGAGCAAGGAGUACACCAUGCCUGGCCCCAAUGUUUCUGGUAUUGCAGAGUCCGCUCCACUGUGGAACUCCACAGAAACGCCUGGCGGUGUUUCCAACGGGCACAAGAGCGGAGUUGACGAAGAUUCUUUACUAGCAUUAUUGUUGGAAGACUCUCCAAACGUAGACGAGCGGUUGCCCUCCCGUGGUUUUGAAUCGACGUCUCCUAUCCCGCCAAGGUCCUCCAAGAAGCCAAGCGCAUAUGCAUCUUCGGUGGGUUGUGCUUUAUCGCGGUUUAAUCUGCGUCUUGUGUUACACAUGCGUUUGUUUGUAUAGAUUUGUUUUACUGCACAUACCGAAGUGCGUGACCUUUACAAGGUCCAUGCAGCAUCUCAUGCACUUGCCAAUUGGUGUCAGUCGGAGUUUAAUACUAGUGUGUUUUUUCAGCACCCAACUGCCCGGAUCUCCUUCAAAUUAUACGACUGGAAUCCAGGGGACUUUCCUCGUAAUUUAAGGCAACAGGUACGGAAUUUUGGUAUUUAUUUCACGUUCUGGAAAUUCCACGGAAGGUUGCCGUAUUUACGUUGAAAACAGUGUAGCAGUUUGCAUUUAAGCUCGAGGGGUUUGAACUGAUCGCACAUGCAAUGGGCGUUGUGGGUAGGUUUGCCCAGGGUUAUAGUUGGUGCUGUCAUUUUCUGUGAUAAAUUGACAGCGUAGAUAUCGGUGCUGCAGAUUUUGGAGUGGCUGUCGAAUAUGCCUGUGGAUCUCGAAGGGUACAUACGCUCCGGCUGCACCAUCCUCACCCUAUUCAUUUCUAUGCCUCAGUCCAUGUGGGAGGGGGUAAUGGACCUCGACCAAUUUUAGCCAUAUCGUUAUCUGUACAAUUAUGAGCCUUAUUUUGGGUUGAAUCUUGCUGUCAUCAUUUUGCGAACUAGAGCCUACAUUCGAUUUUGGGUGCUUAGUAUAAUUUUAUUUGAGAAAUUAAUGUGGUGGUGAUUUGUUUUGGCAGCUGAAUGCAGACUGGGAAGGUGCCGUUGCGAGGCUUGUGUGCAACCCUCAGAACACAUCGGGGUUCUGGGAAAAAGGGUACUUCAAGGCCAAGCUCGGCCGCCAGACAGUACACUUUGAAAAUGGUAAGCUCCCCUCUUUUCAGGAGUUGGCGCUGGCCAGUUUUGGACGCAGUUUCUUCAAACUCAUAAGUGCACUGGUUGUCGUUGAAUUGUUUGUUGUAUGUUUCAUUGAGGAUGGUAGAAGUUGUUGUGGGCUUGCAUACAAGGACGUGUACAUGUAUUGUUAAAAUAGGUGGUUUGCGAGAUCAGGAAAAGCGGUGAAUAGGAGUGGCGGAAAAGAAGACUGCAUGCCGUGCAUGCCUGUCCUGCAAUCUGUUGAGCCUGUAUGUUUUCGGGCAGGCACAGGCUGCAUGCUAAGCAUUACUGGCCGCAACUUGCUACAAGCAAAUACAAAGUGAGUUUUCUGGUGCAUGGCUGUGUGAAGUUGAUACACAUCGUCUUCUUUGCCGAUCAGGUGUAAACCUGUUCGGAUCCCGCUUGUUUUUUGGGUUGACCUUAGUAAUAUCAGUUAACAAUAGCAAAUACCAUGAAUAGAGGGGAUCGUUUGGAGUGUUGUGCACGCCACCGUCAUGUGACUUCCAUCAUCGUAGUUGGAUCUCAUGCAAUUAACUUGUCUUGCAGGUUGCUGAUGUCUCACGGCGGAAAGUACAUUAAGGCUUGGGUGCUGAAAGCAAGUUCUGAGGGUAAGCAGGAGGAUAAGUGGCAGAUCGUUGUUCCGCCUGUCGACGAGUGUCAGGCUGGGCCUGUUUUCAUUGAGGUACCGGUUUGGCCUAGUUGAAUCCUAAAUGUGUAUUGGUUGAUAAGUAUGACGGAUAUAAGGUAGUGUUUAUGUUAUUGCCAUGCGAUGUGAGCUACCCACAUGACGUGUGUCGCUGGCAACUACGAGCAUGACGAGUGCAGUGUAUACGUUCUGUUUGGUUUACGUCCGGGCAGAACAUGUUGGGUUGGAUUUAGAUACUUUUGGCGUGGUGCUGGGCUCAAGUCUUUGAGUCGGAAGUUUGAUGUUACUGGUGUUUCUUGGGAAGACCGUUCUAUGGUGCUUGUCGUUGACAACAGGCGACUAGACGAAUUUCAUGAAGUGGAACUUGUGAAUAUCAGGUUGAGAACGAAGACAGACUCAGCAACAUUAUGGUGGUGCUAGUCGGGGAUGCAGAAUUUUGCAAUGAGGUGGAAAGCAUGGAGUUGUAUACUAGCAGCUGCGAAGCUCAAGAUCUGCUGUUCGACUUGGGUUGGAUGCUCAAGGAGAGCACCCUUGAUUCGGGUGUUUUGAUUCAACGUCUCCGUUCGCUGCUCGAUUAUGCGAAUGCGAAAGGAUGGGAGCGAGUUGCUGAGCGCAUUCUAGAAGCAGCUGACAGGCGGGGUGUUUUGCGUAAAUUAGUCGGAGCCGCGGACGCACGCUCUUUUGACUGGAGAAACAUCUGGGCCGAAAGCACCGGGCAUAGUCACUCGACUUACAAGCUUUCAUCAUUUGCGGUUCCAGUAUCGAGCCGAAGUUACUCCAUGCCAUCGCUGGCACAGAGCAAGGUUCGUGUGUUUUGUUAUUAUUGUUGGGAGUUAUUCUGUGAAUUGGGUUGGAGGACUGGGUUUUUAUCUGGUCAUUGAUUUCUAACUGAAUGGCAACCGAUAGUAGUCGUCGGCAUGUGUAAAUUAGAAUUAGGUGAAUGUUUACACUCGCAGUUACGUGGUUUUUGUGCGUUGAUAGUUGAUGAAUUGUGUUUUACAUAAUGCCAAGUAAGUUAUUAAAUUUGUGUCCCAUGCGGGGCUUUGUUGGUGUCAGAGAGAUGCGGACGAGCAUACACACAUUGUAGUUUGUAACAGCAGCAGCAAGGAUUUAACGACCACGUCUCUACUACCACAACGGGGGAUGAGAGAGAAGCGUCGUUCUCCAUGGGGUAGGAACACCUACAGGCUUGUGUUUGCUGUUGCAAGCGCGACGGCAGCAUGUGCAGGACUUUGCGUAGUCCUGCAACACCCGGAACAGGUUGCCCAACUAUCGACAUCAUUGCGGCGUUGCCUUUGGAGUAAUUGAUUUAGUGUACUUUGAUCAAGUGGGUUCUGCGGAGAGAAUAUGUACAUGCUUCGAGGGAAUAUUUGUACUUACAGCCCAUUUCAAAUAGCCAGUUCUGGGAGUCUUUAGGACCCUUUGGACCUAGAAGGUACGGAUGCCCCUUUGUAAAUAGUGGUUGGGUUCAGAUUGGUCGGUGUGGUCGUGAUAAUUUUUUAGUGUGGGCGUUUGGUUGUUUAGAGUCUGUUUGUUACACUUGGGUUAGGUAUUAGGUUGAAUUACUGGUUCGAAUGAUUGGGUGGUUGAGUUGAGGUAUGUGCAACCUUGUUGCAUCAUUUUGGUCUGG